rnacentral:lncRNA from 1 species
ACCGCGAGAUCGUGACCUGGCUGAAGUCAGACGCUUAACUGACUGUGCCACCCAGGCGCCCCUAAUGUUUAUUUAUUUUUGAGAGACAGAGAGAGACGGAGCGUGAGCAGGGGAGGGGCAGAGAGAGGGACACAGAGAAUCCGAAGCAGGCUCCAGGCUCUGAGCUGUCAGCACAGAGCCUGACGUGGGGCUUGAACUCACGAACCGCGAGAUCGUGACCAGAGACGAAGUCGGUGCUUAACUGACGGAGCCACCCAGGUGCCCCAAUUCCUCAACAUUUUUAAGACUUGAAACUAAAAGAAUACGCCCAAUUUGUGGAAAGAUCCCUGGAUUAGAAACCCAGGGAUUUGUUUUCCAAUUCAGAAUUUCCCACAACUGUGGGCAAAACGUCUCACUUCUCUGGGCCUCAGUUUCCUUUUCUGGAUUAAGAUGCUGAGGCUAAAUGAGUUCGGUAGUGCCUUCCACUACCCCACAUUCUAGGAUUGCAUUUUAAACACACAGCACAGGGGCGCCUGGGUGGCUCAGUCGGUUGAGCGUCCGACUUCAGCUCAGGUCAUGAUCUCACAGCUCAUGAGUUCGAGCCCCGUGUCAGACUCUGUGCUGACAGCUCGGAGCCUGGAACGUGCUUCCGAUUCUGGGCCUCCCUCUUUCUCUGCCCUUCUCUUGCUUGGGCUCUGACUCUCUCUCUCUCUCAAGAAUAAAUAAACAUUAAAAAAAACCACACACAUAGCACAAAGUAUUUGCUCUGGGAUUCUCAAAUCUUCUCUCACCAAAGCGAACAAAAUCCUUGGAUAAAUUGUCACAGUCUAGAAAGGCUCAUAUUUUCUUUCUUUCUUUCCUUUUUUUUUUUUUUUUUUUUUUUUUUUGCAACCCAGGAGAAAGUGCUAAGAGGUGAAAACGGAAAUACACGACAAGAGGCUUCACCCUGAAAGAAGAUGGAGAGUAAGAGCCUGAGAGAUGUUUGCUGUGCGGGAAGGAAGCUUCUCACUCUUCCUUCAGCAGCCUGCAAACCUCCUGCCUUGUUUUUCGCCUUGGUGACAGAAUGGCUGUUGUCUCAACCCAGGGCCUGGGAGAAGGAAGAUGCCACGAGGUGGGCCGAGUGCCCCGAAGAGAACACAGAGGACACGCUGAGAGAAUUCCCUGAGACAAGGAUUGUGGCUUUCCCCUUCUCCUUGGCAGAUGGGACAGGCCUGUGAUCGUGCAGUUAAUUACGUGUCACUUUAAGAUACAGAGUCUCCCGGGUGGACACGGAGAAGAGACAGGGGCACCCUGGAGAGCUCUCACUGGAGCAAAGUAAACCCUGUAGGAGAUGGAUCAGAAUUCAUUGUGGGAGCUAAUUAUAUUUACCAGCGAGCUUUGUUUUACCUUUUAUUUCGUAAAUUUUGUCUUUUUCCUGGAUUCAAGGAGAGCAGGAGAGCACACGGUUUAACUCGUCAAAUGUAAUAAAUAAAUAAAUCCAGUAAAUGUGAGUGUCUCC